rnacentral:rRNA from 1 species
AUUGAACGCUGGCGGCAUGCUUUACACAUGCAAGUCGAACGGCAGCGCGGGCUUCGGCCUGGCGGCGAGUGGCGAACGGGUGAGUAAUGAAUCGGAACGUGCCCAGUAGUGGGGGAUAGCCCGGCGAAAGCCGGAUUAAUACCGCAUACGACCUGAGGGUGAAAGCGGGGGACCGAAAGGCCUCGCGCUAUUGGAGCGGCCGAUGUCGGAUUAGCUAGUUGGUGGGGUAAAGGCUUACCAAGGCGACGAUCCGUAGCUGGUCUGAGAGGACGACCAGCCACACUGGGACUGAGACACGGCCCAGACUCCUACGGGAGGCAGCAGUGGGGAAUUUUGGACAAUGGGGGCAACCCUGAUCCAGCCAUGCCGCGUGCGGGAAGAAGGCCUUCGGGUUGUAAACCGCUUUUGUUCGGGAAGAAAUCCUCUGGGCUAAUACCCCGGGGGGAUGACGGUACCGGAAGAAUAAGCACCGGCUAACUACGUG